UGAAUAUGGGGGGACCAUCCUCCAAGGCUAAAUACUCCUGACUGACCGAUAGUGAACCAGUACCGUGAGGGAAAGGCGAAAAGAACCCCUGUGAGGGGAGUGAAAUAGAACCUGAAACCGUGUACGUACAAGCAGUAGGAGCACCUUCGUGGUGUGACUGCGUACCUUUUGUAUAAUGGGUCAGCGACUUAUAUUCAGUGGCAAGGUUAACCGUAUAGGGGAGCCGUAGCGAAAGCGAGUCUUAACUGGGCGCUCAGUCUCUGGAUAUAGACCCGAAACCGGGUGAUCUAGCCAUGGGCAGGUUGAAGGUUGAGUAACAUCAACUGGAGGACCGAACCGACUAAUGUUGAAAAAUUAGCGGAUGACUUGUGGCUAGGGGUGAAAGGCCAAUCAAACUCGGAGAUAGCUGGUUCUCCCCGAAAGCUAUUUAGGUAGCGCCUCGGACGAAUACUACUGGGGGUAGAGCACUGUUAAGGCUAGGGGGUCAUCCCGACUUACCAACCCUUUGCAAACUCCGAAUACCAGUAAGUACUAUCCGGGAGACACACGGCGGGUGCUAACGUCCGUCGUGGAGAGGGAAACAACCCAGACCGCCAGCUAAGGUCCCAAAGUAUUGCUAAGUGGGAAACGAUGUGGGAAGGCUCAGACAGCUAGGAUGUUGGCUUAGAAGCAGCCAUCAUUUAAAGAAAGCGUAAUAGCUCACUAGUCGAGUCGGCCUGCGCGGAAGAUGUAACGGGGCUAAGCAAUACACCGAAGCUGCGGCAAUGUCUUUUAGACAUUGGGUAGGGGAGCGUUCUGUAAGCCGUUGAAGGUGAAUCGUAAGGUUUGCUGGAGGUAUCAGAAGUGCGAAUGCUGACAUGAGUAACGACAAAGGGGGUGAAAAACCUCCUCGCCGGAAGACCAAGGGUUCCUGUCCAACGUUAAUCGGGGCAGGGUGAGUCGACCCCUAAGGUGAGGCCGAAAGGCGUAAUCGAUGGGAAACGGGUUAAUAUUCCCGUACUUCUGACUAUUGCGAUGGGGGGACGGAGAAGGCUAGGUGGGCCAGGCGACGGUUGUCCUGGUUCAAGUGCGUAGGCUUGAGAGUUAGGUAAAUCCGGCUCUCUCUAAGGCUGAGACACGACGUCGAGCUACUACGGUAGUGAAGUCAUUGAUGCCAUGCUUCCAGGAAAAGCCUCUAAGCUUCAGAUAGUCAGGAAUCGUACCCCAAACCGACACAGGUGGUCGGGUAGAGAAUACCAAGGCGCUUGAGAGAACUCGGGUGAAGGAACUAGGCAAAAUGGUACCGUAACUUCGGGAGAAGGUACGCUCUUGAUGGUGAAGUCCCUCGCGGAUGGAGCUGACGAGAGUCGCAGAUACCAGGUGGCUGCAACUGUUUAUUAAAAACACAGCACUGUGCAAAAUCGCAAGAUGACGUAUACGGUGUGACGCCUGCCCGGUGCCGGAAGGUUAAUUGAUGGGGUUAGCGCAAGCGAAGCUCUUGAUCGAAGCCCCGGUAAACGGCGGCCGUAACUAUAACGGUCCUAAGGUAGCGAAAUUCCUUGUCGGGUAAGUUCCGACCUGCACGAAUGGCGUAAUGAUGGCCACGCUGUCUCCACCCGAGACUCAGUGAAAUUGAAAUCGCUGUGAAGAUGCAGUGUACCCGCGGCUAGACGGAAAGACCCCGUGAACCUUUACUACAGCUUGGCACUGAACAUUGAACCUACAUGUGUAGGAUAGGUGGGAGGCUAUGAAGACGUGACGCCAGUUGCGUUGGAGCCGUCCUUGAAAUACCACCCUUGUAUGUUUGAUGUUCUAACUUAGACCCAUUAUCUGGGUUGAGGACAGUGCCUGGUGGGUAGUUUGACUGGGGCGGUCUCCUCCCAAAGAGUAACGGAGGAGCACGAAGGUGGGCUAAUCACGGUUGGACAUCGUGAGGUUAGUGCAAUGGCAUAAGCCCGCUUAACUGCGAGAAUGACGGUUCGAGCAGGUGCGAAAGCAGGUCAUAGUGAUCCGGUGGUUCUGUAUGGAAGGGCCAUCGCUCAACGGAUAAAAGGUACUCCGGGGAUAACAGGCUGAUACCGCCCAAGAGUUCAUAUCGACGGCGGUGUUUGGCACCUCGAUGUCGGCUCAUCACAUCCUGGGGCUGAAGUCGGUCCCAAGGGUAUGGCUGUUCGCCAUUUAAAGUGGUACGCGAGCUGGGUUUAGAACGUCGUGAGACAGUUCGGUCCCUAUCUGCCGUGGGCGUUGGAAGAUUGAAGGGGGCUGCUCCUAGUACGAGAGGACCGGAGUGGACGAACCUCUGGUGUUCGGGUUGUGUCGCCAGACGCAUUGCCCGGUAGCUAAGUUCGGAAUUGAUAAGCGCUGAAAGCAUCUAAGCGCGAAGCGAGCCCUGAGAUGAGUCUUCCCUGACAGUUUAACUGUCCUAAAGGGUUGUUCGAGACUAGAACGUUGAUAGGCAGGGUGUGUAAGCGUUGUGAGGCGUUGAGCUAACCUGUACUAAUUGCCCGUGAGGCUUAACCAUACAACACCCAAGG
rnacentral:rRNA from 1 species